AUGAAAAUGUCGAUACAAUUUGUCAUGAAUAACUUAAAUUUCAAGAUUUUCGCGCAUAAAAUUAUGACGCGCGCUGUCUGUGCGGCGGCGUAAGUCGCUACUCGUAUAGCCGUCUCGCUUCUUCUUGUGUGUGCUUUACCGUUGCUCACCGCAUCAAGAACAUUGCUGCUCACACACACGUCAGUCUGUGGCAAACAAUUGGAGGGGGAGGAUGUGUUGGUUUGCUCCAGAAAUCGUGUGUGAUUUUGGUGUUCUGGAUUUGGUUCCAUCGCUGUUUGUUUUGGUGAAAUUGAAAAGGUAAGACUCAUAGACCGAUGUAAAAGUGUGAGAGUAAAGUGAUGUUGAUGGUGACUGAUGCUUUUAUUUGUUUCUUUUCCUGCUUUCAUCCACUGAUGGUGUCGAGCAUCGCCGAGGAUGUGAUCGAAUGCGGAAUAUUCGAAACGAGGAGAUUCAUUCCGGAUUUUGUUUGCAAUAAGCGCUGAACUAAUCCUCCAGCUUACAGGACGGCAAAGGUACACGCACAAACGUGCACACAUCAGUCUUCUCGGAGAACGAGAACACGGGAGGGGGAGACCGGCAACGUAUAGAACCUUUACGCUCCCUCGUGCGUUCGUGCGUGCGUGCGCGCGCGCGUCUAUGUGUGUGUAUGUGUGUGCAUGCCUGCGUGCGUGGCUGUGUGUGUUUUUGCCGCUUCGCAUAACGAGAUCCUACGGGAUCACCUUGCGAAAAACA